CCCUGCUCCAGGCUGGGGAGACCUGGGGAACCCCUGGAAUGAAUGGUACAGCCACAAGGAACACCAGCCAGGGAGAAAGGCAAGGAGGGGCUAGGUAUUUCGGCAGCUGAGGCUCGGCCCCGCUCCAGGCCGAACAGUAACCCAGCGGUAGGUCAGUGGGUUGCUCCAGCUGCUGAUUCACCCACUGCCCACCUGCCAGCCCUUUUUACCAGCCCACUGAGUCACACAGGUUGCCAAGAGGCUGAGAAUCCGAGAAUCGAGGCCCCGCCCCAGCUGCUCCUGCUGGCUCCGUGCCUGGCAGGAUCCGGCACUGCCAAGGGCACCGCCAGCCCCCCUCCUAUGGCUGCCGAGGACAGCUUCCUGCCCCUUUGGGCCUGCCCCCAUGCCCGUCUCGACAAUGAGCCCAACGUCUAACUUUAAGGAUUAGGGCAGCAGCUACGAGCUGGGGCUCUGGGUAGACAGAGUCCAGGUUCAAACCCCCAGCCUGCUACUUGCUGACCCUCGUCCUGGCCUACAUAUGGGGAUGACCUCCACCUCCAAAAGCUUGAAAUAUUGGAUGGAAACACUGAGGAUAGGGCCUGACUAGGACACUCCAAGUCAGGGACAACUGGUACUUCAGAAAAUGCAAUCGAAAAUCCUCCCAGCAAAUUCAAACUGCCAUAAAAGUCUCUGAAAAAUUUCAAUUUAUCCCAUGUCCCUGAGGACCAGCAAUAAUCUGUAGCAUUCAGCCCACAUGGAUUGACUGAGCCCCUGCUAGGUGUCAGGCCGGGUGCAGGUACCAGCGAUACACCAGGGAACAAAAGAGGGACCAAUCACCUUCUGGUCUAGGGGCGUAAGAAGUAAAAUGCGUGUUGGAAGAAAAACACGUGGAUUCAACUCAGGCCGGGCGCCAGGCGACACCGCCUGUCUUCACAGCUGGUGGGCCACACCACCAUCUGCCUUCCUCAGAGGGGAAGAGACAUUUCCUGCCACCUGCGGAGGGCUCCCUGCUGGUGACGGCACCAGGGACUUCAGGAAUACUUCACACACCUUGACGUCCAUGAGUCCACAGGGAAGUUGAGGGAACCACCUGUCUGGGAUCCUUUAUAGGUAGAGGGCCUCCCGGACAAAGGAAGGUCUGCACUCCACAGGAUCCCAAAGGAGGGGUACGUUUCUGGACUCAGAACUCAGGGGCCAGGACGACGCCCUCCCCACCGCAGCUCACACACACAGGUCAGGUGGGUACACCU